rnacentral:rRNA from 1 species
GAUGAACGCUGGCGGCGUGCCUAAUACAUGCAAGUCGAGCGAGCGGAUAAGGAGCUUGCUCCUUUGAAGUUAGCGGCGGACGGGUGAGUAACACGUGGGUAACCUACCUAUAGGACUGGAAUAACUUCGGGAAACCGGAGCUAAUGCCGGAUAACAUUUGGAACCGCAUGGUUCUAAAGUAAAAGAUGGUUUUGCUGUCACUUAUAGAUGACCUUGCGGUGCAUUAGCUAGUUGGUGGGGUAAUAGCCUACCAAGGCCAUGAUGCAUAGCCGACCUGAGAGGGUGAUCGGCCACAUUGGGACUGAGACACGGCCCAA